rnacentral:rRNA from 1 species
UGGGGAAUAUUGCACAAUGGGCGCAAGCCUGAUGCAGCCAUGCCGCGUGUGUGAAGAAGGCCUUCGGGUUGUAAAGCACUUUCAGCGAGGAGGAAGGUGGUGAGCUUAAUACGCUCAUCAAUUGACGUUACUCGCAGAAGAAGCACCGGCUAACUCCGUGCCAGCAGCCGCGGUAAUACGGAGGGUGCAAGCGUUAAUCGGAAUUACUGGGCGUAAAGCGCACGCAGGCGGUUUGUUAAGUCAGAUGUGAAAUCCCCGGGCUCAACCUGGGAACUGCAUUUGAAACUGGCAAGCUAGAGUCUCGUAGAGGGGGGUAGAAUUCCAGGUGUAGCGGUGAAAUGCGUAGAGAUCUGGAGGAAUACCGGUGGCGAAGGCGGCCCCCUGGACGAAGACUGACGCUCAGGUGCGAAAGCGUGGGGCAGCAAACAGGAUUAGAUACCCUGGUAGUCCACGCUGUAAAACGAUGCCGAUUUUGGAGGUUGUGCCCUUGAGGCGUGGCUUCCGGAGCUAACGCGUUAAAUCGACCGCCUGGGGAGUACGGCCGCAAGGUUAAAACUCAAAGGAAUUGAC